rnacentral:rRNA from 1 species
UACGUAGGGGGCAAGCGUUGUCCGGAUUUAUUGGGCGUAAAGAGCGUGUAGGCGGCCAUGCAGGUCCGUUGUGAAAACUCGAGGCUCAACCUCGAGACGCCGAUGGAAACCGCAUGGCUAGAGUCCGGAAGAGGAGAGUGGAAUUCCCGGUGUAGCGGUGAAAUGCGCAGAUAUCGGGAAGAACACCCGUGGCGAAGGCGGCACUCUGGGACGGUACUGACGCUGAGGUGCGAAAGCUAGGGUAGCAAACGGG